rnacentral:rRNA from 1 species
ACGGAGGUGGCAGGCGUUACUCGGAUUGAUUGGGUGUAAAGGGCGUGUAGGUGGUGAAUUAAGUCGAUUGUGAAAUCCCUUGGCUUAACCAAGGAACUGCAUUCGAAACUGAUUUGCUUGAGUGAUAGAGAGGUAAGUGGAAUUCCCGGUGUAACAGUGAAAUGUGUAGAUAUCGGGAGGAACACCAGUGGCGAAGGCGACUUACUGGCUAUCUACUGACACUGAAACGCGAGAGCUAGGGGAGCAAACAGGAUUAGAUACCCUGGUAGUCCUAGCCGUAAACGAUGUUCACUAGGUGUCGGGCCCUCUGGGUUCGGUGCCGCCGUUAACACAUUAAGUGAACCACCUGGGGAGUACGGUCGCAAGACUG